UGGGGAAUAUUGGACAAUGGGCGCAAGCCUGAUCCAGCCAUGCCGCGUGUGUGAAGAAGGCCUUCGGGUUGUAAAGCACUUUCAGUUGGGAGGAAGGGUUGUGUGUUAAUAGUACACAGCCUUGACGUUACCAACAGAAGAAGCACCGGCUAACUCUGUGCCAGCAGCCGCGGUAAUACAGAGGGUGCAAGCGUUAAUCGGAAUUACUGGGCGUAAAGCGCACGUAGGCGGUUUUUUAAGUCAGAUGUGAAAGCCCCGGGCUCAACCUGGGAAUUGCAUUUGAAACUGGAAAACUAGAGUGUGUGAGAGGGGGGUAGAAUUCCAAGUGUAGCGGUGAAAUGCGUAGAGAUUUGGAGGAAUACCAGUGGCGAAGGCGGCCCCCUGGCACAACACUGACGCUCAGGUGCGAAAGCGUGGGGAGCAAACAGGAUUAGAUACCCUGGUAGUCCACGCCGUAAACGAUGUCUACUAGCUGUUCGUGACCUUGUGUCGUGAGUAGCGCAGCUAACGCACUAAGUAGACCGCCUGGGGAGUACGGUCGCAAGAUUA
rnacentral:rRNA from 1 species